AAGGCCAGAUCCUGCAGGUUAACCUUUUGGGAGGCUGUGUUACAGUCGCCAGGGAGCUGGUCCUGGGGUCUGCUUCCAGUGUCCCCAACCCAGCCCUGCAGCCCGGUGCCCUGUGGAGAGCAGCUGGGCUGGGAGGGCCACGCAGCAGUGGCAGGGGCACGAGGGGGAGAGAAAGGGCAGGAGCAGGCAGUUCCCCGUGGCUCCGCAUCCCCUCGCCGGCUCUAACAGGUUUCUCUGCUCCGCUCAGGCCACCCAUCAGCACCGGAGGGGUCCCAGCCCGGCCUGGGGGGCUGUGUUGGCACAGCUGGGGAGCGGUGGGAGAAGCAGAACCGGCUGCAGACAGAGAUCCUGGAGUUGCAGAAGGAGACCUUGCAGCUGCAAAAGGAGAAGAUCCUGCUGGAAAAGGAGAAGCUCUUCCUGGAAAUCAUCAAACUCCGCAGGGAACUGGGCACCUGACAGUCCUCUGCAGGCGCUGGGGCGGCCCAGGGCCACGGUCCCCACUGUGGGGAUGGGGACAGCCCGCUCCUCCGGGGGUGGGCACUGGCUGCCGCCGGGAUCCCGUGGGGUGAGGCCAGGACAGCUGCGCCGUGAGCUGCCCUCUCCUUCCCAUCUCCAGGCCCGGGGCCAUGCCUAUCUUGGGCUCCCUCCUGCCUGCUGCCUGCCUGCGUGCCCUCGGCCAGCCCAGCGGGAGCCAGCCCUGGUGUGGCAUGUCGUCCCACCGCCACAGGAGCCUCGUCCCGCCGAGGCGGGUUUGGAUGGGCAGCAGUGGCGGGGUGCUCACAGUGUGGGCAUGGCCGCCUCCACUGUCACCCAUUUCCCGGGGGACAUUUAAUGGCUUGGAGCUCCCCGAGCGUCUUGGCAGUGGCAGUGUGGGGCUUGGGCACUGCUGGUCGCUGCAGGUGACCAUAUCUGAAUAAAGGUGAUCUCUGCAGGUCGAGUGCCCAGUGCUGUGCCUGAGCGGGGUGGGGGUGAAGUCACCCAGGGGGUGGUUUGGGAGUGCAGGCAGGUGCCAAGGCUGCCAGCAUAGUGUCUCAGCUGUGGGUACCACCGGCCAAGGCUGGACCAGGG
rnacentral:lncRNA from 1 species